rnacentral:rRNA from 1 species
CACGUAGGGCGCAAGCGUUGUCCGGAAUUAUUGGGCGUAAAGAGCUCGUAGGCGGUCUGUUGCGUCCGCUGUGAAAACCCGGGGCUUAACCCCUGGCUUGCAGUGGAUACGGACAGACUAGAGGUAGGUAGGGGAGAACGGAAUUCCCGGUGUAGCGGUGAAAUGCGCAGAUAUCGGGAGGAACACCGGUGGCGAAGGCGGUUCUCUGGGCCUUACCUGACGCUGAGGAGCGAAAGCAUGGGGAGCGAACAGG